UCUAUGGGGUGGUUGUGUGUAUAGAGGUAGUGGUCACACACACUGACCUGUAGUAGCAGUAUGAAGUAGUCUAUGGGGUGGUUGUGUGUGUAGAGGUAGUGGUCACACACACACUGACCUGUAGUAGCAGUAUGAAGUAGUCUAUGGGGUGGUUGUGUGUGUAGAGGUAGUGGUCACACACACACACUGACCUGUAGUAGCAGUAUGAAGUAGUCUAUGGGGUGGUUGUGUGUGUAGAGGUAGUGGUCACACACACACACACACUGACCUGUAGUAGCAGUAUGAAGUAGUCUAUGGGGUGGUUGUGUGUGUAGAGGUAGUGGUCACACACACACACUGACCUGUAGUAGCAGUAUGAAGUAGUCUAUGGGGUGGUUGUGUGUGUAGAGGUAGUGGUCACACACACACACUGACCUGUAGUAGCAGUAUGAAGUAGUCUAUGGGGUGGUUGUGUGUGUAGAGGUAGUGGUCACACACACACUGACCUGUAGUAGCAGUAUGAAGUAGUCUAUGGGGUGGUUGUGUGUGUAGAGGUAGUGGUCACACACACACACUGACCUGUAGUAGCAGUAUGAAGUAGUCUAUGGGGUGGUUGUGUGUGUAGAGGUAGUGGUCACACACACACUGACCUGUAGUAGCAGUAUGAAGUAGUCUAUGGGGUGGUUGUGUGUGUAGAGGUAGUGGUCACACACACACACUGACCUGUAGUAGCAGUAUGAAGUAGUCUAUGGGGUGGUUGUGUGUGUAGAGGUAGUGGUCACACACACACUGACCUGUAGUAGCAGUAUGAAGUAGUCUAUGGGGUGGUUGUGUGUGUAGAGGUAGUGGUCACACACACACACUGACCUGUAGUAGCAGUAUGAAGUAGUCUAUGGGGUGGUUGUGUGUGUAGAGGUAGUGGUCACACACACACUGACCUG